GUACAUGAAUAAUAUUUAAAUUUCAAAUAUAUUAACUUCAUUUAAGUAAAGAAAAGUUAAAAAUAUUUGUUUACAAAUUUAUUCCACCGUUUGUAAAAAGGCUUUACAUUUCGGAUCGAAGUUUGACAUCAAGUUUAUAUAAUAAAUCAUUGGCUAUAUAAUCAUUAUUAGGAUCCGUGAAAAAACGCACGGAAUUUGAGCACAAAAUUUGGUUCCGCAAAACGCAUAACUAUUAGUUGGAUUAGUUGAUAAUUUAAAUAUCACACUUCAAGUUUUGUGGUUUCUUUACUGGUUACCAGAAAAUUCAGUGUUAGACAAUCGUGCACAUUUAGCAGCAAGCAAAUAUGAUAAAAACUGGACAUGAUACAUUUUAGAUAAUGUAGUGGAAUAUAUGCUUAAAUGUUAUAACAUCAUUGAUAAAGGAGGCACUAGUUAGAUAAACAAAGAAAAUUUUGGAGAAACUGAAAAAUUAUUUUGUUGCAGGGAAUUUAGGUCAUAGUUUAGAAAAAUAAAAUAUUUAAAAUUUUAUAAAAUUUACUUUUUUUAUUGGUUAUAACAAUAAUAUGAAUAAAUUCUCCUUCGUAAAAGCCGGACACCUGGCAACCCUACUUACAAUAUACAUCUUUUUUUGCAAAACAAACACAUAAAUAUACUUUCUUUAUUUUGGUUAGGAUAAAGUAAAUCAAGUAAAUUAACCUAGUAUUUGAACCAAAAUUGAAGUCUGUUUCUAACAAAUAGCAACUAAAACAGUAUUGAAAUCAUUCAAAUAAAAAUUUUUAUCAGUAAAAAAUUAUUUUAAAGUAUUUUAUGCUCUCUCAGCCCCGUCACCCCAAAAAGUUCAAGUUUUUUAACGAAAUCUAUAGAUAACAGCCCGCUUUUCUA
rnacentral:misc_RNA from 1 species